AAAGUCGUAACAAGGUCUCCGUUGGUGAACCAGCGGAGGGAUCAUUACCGAGUUUACAACUCCCAAACCCCAAUGUGAACAUUACCUUUACUGUUGCUUCGGCGGGAUCGCCCCGGGCGCGGCCGAGAGGCCCAGCCCCGGAUCCAACGUGCGCCCGCCGGAGGACCCCAGACUCCAUGUUUCUUACAAGGUAUCUCUGAGCUGCUCCUAGCGAGCAAAACAAAAAAUGAAUCAAAACUUUCAACAACGGAUCUCUUGGUUCUG
rnacentral:misc_RNA from 1 species